rnacentral:rRNA from 1 species
GAGUUUGAUCGUGGCUCAGAAUGAACGUUGGCGGCGUGCCUAACACAUGCAAGUCGAGCGAGAAAGUUCCUUCGGGAAUGAGUACAGCGGCGGACGGGUGAGUAACACGUAAGAAUCUGCCCUAUAGUGAGGAAUACCCUCGAGAAAUUGAGGUUAAUACUGCAUAAGUCCCUUCGGGGAGAAAAGCGUCUUUUAUGUCGCUGCUAUAGGAUGAGCUUGCGGACUAUCAGCUUGUUGGUGAGGUAAAGGCUCACCAAGGCUAUGACGGUUAACCGGCCUGAGAGGGUGUACGGUCACAUAGGCACUGAGAUACGGGCCUGACUCCUACGGGAGGCAGCAGUGGGGAAUAUUGCGCAAUGGGCGAAAGCCUGACGCAGCGACGCCGCGUGGAGGAUGAAGGUCUUCGGAUUGUAAACUCCUGUCAGAUGGAAGAAAAUACCACAUUUAAUAGAUGCGGGGAAUGACGGUACCAUCAGAGGAAGCACCGGCUAACUUCGUGCCAGCCGCCGCC